GUUGGGUAAGAACAUGACAUUUUAUUACCCAAUUCACAUUUCAUUAUCUGCUUUCAGUUCCCCUUACAACUACAACCAAACAACUAAAUUCAACAUGUUUGGGAGCUGUGGAUAUACCAGAUUCUGGUAUUUCUGCGAAAACAACUUUUGAACCUCUUCCUUCUACUUCCAAUGCACCAGAACAUAUGACCUAUAAACCCAUUACUCAUGAUGAUAAAAACAUUUGCCAUCAAGAUGCACAGGCAGAAAUAUUAGUCCACAGUUAUAAAAGACCUAAGAAAAACAUUGAAAUGAAAGACACUUCAUCAACAUUUACAAUUAAAGAGAAGAGGCUUUGGCGACAGUUACAAAAUGCAAAAAAAACAAUAAGGAAUAUAGCGAAGUCAAGAGUGAAUUUAGACAAGUUAGAUUCGGAAGUGCUGACA